rnacentral:rRNA from 1 species
GAUGAACGCUAGCGGUAGGCUUAACACAUGCAAGUCGAGGGGCAGCACAGGUAGCAAUACUAGGUGGCGACCGGCGCACGGGUGAGUAACGCGUAUGCAACCUACCUAUAACUGGAGAAUAGCCCCCGGAAACGGGGAUUAAUGUUCCAUAAUGUUCAGAGACUGCAUAGUUUUUGGACUAAAGCUCCGGCGGUUAUAGAUGGGCAUGCGUGCCAUUAGCUUGUUGGUGAGGUAACGGCUCACCAAGGCUACGAUGGCUAGGGGGUCUUAAAGGAUGAUCCCCCACACUGGUACUGAGACACGGACCAGACUCCUACGGGAGGCAGCAGUGAGGAAUAUUGGUCAAUGGGCGCAAGCCUGAACCAGCCAAGCCGCGUGAAGGAUGACGGCCCUAUGGGUUGUAAACUUCUUUUGUAUGGGAAGAACCCCCCGACGUGUCGGGGUUUGACUGUACUGUACGAAUAAGCAUCGGCUAACUCCGUGCCAGCAGCCGCAGUAAGAC